UCGUGUUCCUAAUAUGCGUUUUGGGGUUGCAGUGAUGUGUCCGUUGUAUUACUAUCACCAGAAGCACCCUGUCAACUAUCUAUUACUCGCGAUUUUCACCGUCUCUCUUGCCUUUGCGGUUGGCUUGACCUGCGCCUUUACUAGCGGGAAGGUCAUUCUCGAGGCUGUGAUUUUGACCUCUGUUGUGGUGAUAUCUCUUACUCUCUACACUUUCUGGGCUGCCAAGAGA